ensembl:lncRNA
CCAGAAUUCAACCUGAUGACAUGGCACUUGAAAGGAGAUCUUUACUAAAACUCUGAACCUAUUAUUGUGAUUUAUUUUUAAUCUAGGUAUCAGAGAUAGUGAUCAUAAUUCAAAUGAAAAGUACCUACUAACAGUUAUGUUAACAUAAAAUUGAGAUUAUUUCUCUUGAAAGAGAUAUUUAUGUUUGAAUUUUAUACAUGUACAAGAAUAUAAAGAUAGAGUUAUUUCUCUGUUUUGGUCAAGACCCCCAAAGCUUUAUUGCCACAAGAUAGUGAGUUGAGCUCAUAAGCUCUCAUUUCAGCAAGGGGACAAAAGGCUUAGGUUGAAACGUACAGAUUUGAGACUGUGAUGGAAAUCCAUGCUGUUCUUUGGUAGGUGCUGCCCUUCUUACCUCUGCAUUUCAAGUUUUGCCCCUUCUGAAUUCAGUUGUAAUGUAAGAGACUUAUUGUGAUCUUUGAACUGUAAGAUUGCAUUUACUGCUCUCGACUCAGCCAAGGGACUCAGUCGUUGCCUUCAGUCUUUGAUCUUGGCAGUCAUCCUUAUCUAAAACCUCUGCCCAUCUGCUCAUUUGUUUGUUAGUUCUACAUACUACUCCACCAGAGAACUAAGAAAUUUCUAGACCCCUACAGAGCACAUGUGAGAGGAAUACUCAAUCAGGGUUAUUUAUCCAGAUUGGCAGUCUUUCUUAAAAUAUAAUCCAAACCACAAAUAUUAACUAUGUAUGCUGUUUUACACUUUCUAGGAGCCACAUUAAACAAAGAGAUAGAGCAGGUGGAGGAAGAUGGGUGAACAGAAGCCUCCAGUAAUUGUUCCUCACACAGAAACACCAAAUUGAACAACUAUCUACACAAGAAAUUGCCUUCAAAAGAAACUAAAAUGAGAUGAGCAAUGACACUUGAUUUGUAACAUCACAUCAACCAAAGAGGCAUGGAAGAAGCUCUCUGCAGGCUGUUUGGCCAUGAAGAUCCCUUCAGUAAUAUGAGCCUCUUGGACAACAUAUGUGAAGCUGGGGAAACUAGGUGCUCACUGCAGUCUCACUUUACCCUGUGGAAGAUAUCACAGCCUGAAGAAUUCUUUCUUGACACUGAGUUGUGCCACCUCUAGGGAGGGAUGAUGCAGGUAAAGUAAAACUGCUUUUUAAAAAUCAUCUUUGAUACAUCUAUUAUUAGAUUCUCUGCUUGGUUGAAGCGCUUGAAUUGUCUUACCAGACUCCCCAGAAAACACCACAGAGGUAUUUUCAUGAGUGGUUGUUUAGCAAAACCAAUGUUUCAGUAAAGGUAUGAGGGCUAUAAUCUCCUAUUUCACCAUCUUGCUGAUGGCCAACUACUGAGAUAAAUUUUACAAUAUUUUUAUCACCUUAAAAAUAAAUCUCAUACUCUUUUGCUAUCACUCCUUCCUCCCCAUUCCCUCAAAGCCCUAAGCAUUCACAAGCCUACUUUCUGUCUCUAUAUAAUUCUCCAUUCUUGACUUUUAUAAGAAUGGAAUCAUAUGGUAGGUAUGUGGUGUUUUGUGACUGGCUUCUUUCACUUCAUAAUAUUUUCAAGAGAUAUGGCCUUUUAAAGCCGCCUUUCAAUGUCAUCUGGAGCAUUAACAUGGAUAUCUAUCCAAGCAGCUUCUUAAUUGUUUCAACUGCCCUCAAUCGCUAGAAUAUUGUUUGACGCCAACAAUUAACAGAUCAGUUUCACUAUAUCACCUAGAGUAUUUUUUCCCACAAAAUUAGCAUCAUGCUCACAAUUAUCUCCUUGCUUCACUAUAUUUAAACCUAUUUCAGCAUAUUCCAUCUCAUAAUUUUCCCUUGAAGCAAUGCAUAACAGCCAAAUCAUCAUUAAUGUUCAACAUUUCUUCAAUGUUGGUUUUUUCUAGCGCUACUGUACUUUCACUGAUGCACAUUUGGUGAACUAAUAAGGUUUAAUGUUAUCACCUUGUUAGUGUCAGGAAAUCCCUUAAAGUCUUCAACUUUAUGUUUGUUUUGAAGCCUCUGCAGUACUCUGUUUUCUGCCCUUUAGAUAUUGACAGAUGCUUUCUUUUUUUUCUUUAUCUGUUACUGACAGGGUUAUCUUUAGCUAUCUCAAAUCUUUCAUGGUAUAGUUAAUUAUAAAGCAAGCUUGUCCAACCUGUGGCCGGUGGGCCACAUGCAGCCCAGGAUGGCUUUGAAUGCAGCCCAACACAAAUUCAAACUUUCUUAAAAAUUAUGAGAUUUUGUUGUGAUUUUCUUUUCUUAGUUCAUUAGCUGUCCUUAGUGUUAGUACAUUUUAUGUAUGGCUCAAGACAAUUCUUUUUCUUCCAACAUGGCCCAGGGAAGCCAAAAGAUUGGACAUCCUGUUAUAAAACUGUAAAAUAGCAAGCAAACAGUAAACCAUUUGUUGUAGCAUCAACUAUGACUAAGAGAAAGCUGAGAAGCAACACGUGCCUCAUGUCGGGUCAGGUUCUGCCACUAAAAUAGCGUUGGCUUCAAGCUUAUCAAAAAAUUUAGUUUUUAGAGAUUUUUAGAUAAUUAUAGAUAAAGAUAUGAUCUGAAUAUUAUAUAUAUUAAGUUGUCUUUCUAAAAGUACAAGUAAUUAUGUAUUCCAAAAUGCGUCCAUCCCUGUAAGAUUCAAAUAAAGAACUGCUUUGGUAUUAUGUUCUAUAAAUGUCAGUUAGGUUAAACUGAUUGAUAGAUUGUCCAAUCUUUCAUAUGCUUACUAACAAUAUCCUUACUGACUGUUUUAUCAAUUACUAGAAAAGUGUAUUAAAAUCUUCAACGAUGUUUCCAUAUUUAUCUAUU